rnacentral:pre_miRNA from 7 species
CUUCGGGGUUCCUGGGUGUCACGUAGAUCUCGGUGGAACCUCCAAAUAAAAGAACCUAGUAGGGAAACCCCACUCAGCUCCCGAUUCGGCGUGCACCCAAGAAUCACGAAUAGAACA